GUCCCCAUCGUCUAACGGUUAGGACAUCGCCCUUUCAAGGCUGCAAUACGGGUUCGAUUCCCGUUGGGGGCACCA
rnacentral:tRNA from 1 species